GACGAACGCUGGCGGCGUGCUUAACACAUGCAAGUCGAACGGAAAGGCCCUGCUUUUGUGGGGUGCUCGAGUGGCGAACGGGUGAGUAACACGUGAGUAACCUGCCCUUGACUUUGGGAUAACUUCAGGAAACUGGGGCUAAUACCGGAUAGGAGCUCCUGCUGCAUGGUGGGGGCUGGAAAGUUUCGGCGGUUGGGGAUGGACUCGCGGCUUAUCAGCUUGUUGGUGGGGUAGUGGCUUACCAAGGGUUUGACGGGUAGCCGGCCUGGGAGGGUGACCGGCCACAUUGGGACUGAGAUACGGCCCAGACUCCUACGGGAGGCAGCAGUGGGGAAUAUUGCACAAUGGGCGGAAGCCUGAUGCAGCAACGCCGCGUGCGGGAUGACGGCCUUCGGGUUGUAAACCGCUUUCGCCUGUGACGAAGCGUGAGUGACGGUAAUGGGUAAAGAAGCACCGGCUAACUACGUG
rnacentral:rRNA from 1 species